rnacentral:tRNA from 1 species
UGGAGUGUAUUAGAAAGUUGCGCUCUAUUUGGGAACUGGAAGUCGCAGGUUCGAAUCCUGUCGCUCCGACCA